CCAAAACUCAUCCCCUUUUAAUUAAAAUAUCUAGACUUAGACCUAUAAAAAAAUACCUAGACCUAGAGAAUAGGAGGAGAGUCCGAAUUCCCUUCACCAAACGGCGCCCUUGGACCUUCUUCAUCAUCCCUCAUUUUCAACGACAACCAGAUCCCUGACCACCGAAAACCAGCUCCCAUUCACCUCCGAUCUCACACGAAAACAGACCCCUUAAUUCCCUUCCCGUUCUCUGAAGAAGCAGCGCCGCUGCUCAUCUUCUUCUUCUUGACAUAAACACACACACUCACAAAAAUGUACAAGAACGAGAAGAAAAGAACGAGAAAAUAGGGGAAGGGAAAAACAAGGCUCUCAUCACUCACUCACUCCGAUUUUUAAAAGAAAGACGGUAGCCACCUCUGGUCUUCAUUUCUUAAACAGUCGAGGUUGUCUUCGAGUUUUCCGGCGUCGAUUUCGAUCUAUGUUUGCAUCAAAUAAUUGCUGCUGUAAAAGUUUUGCUAAAGGAUCAUUCUAAUGGGGAAAGCUAUUUUGAAGAAUGAAUUCGCGAUUUGCUGCUGAUUCACUUCCCUUUUGAGCUCUUUUAUCACUAUUUCUCAUCUGUUUGCCACAUCAAGGUACUCUUCUCAAUUUUGGUCAUGUAACUUGUUUUGGAUGACUCACGUUCUGUGAAAAUAAUUUCGUGAAGCUACAUAUUCUUCUUUGUUAAGCGAAUGAAUCUGUGGUGUGUUUAUUAUUAUCAAAUGGUUGUGAAUCUGAUGUAAAAUGCCUAGGUUUUGCUUCUGUUUUCUUGCUAUAAAAUGCUAAACAGAACGUGCAUUAGCUGGUGCUUUUCGGUAGAAAGACCUUGGUUGUAAUUUUAACCAUGAUUUAUGUUUGGCUCAUUUAUGUAGUGUUUUUGUAUAUUUUCUUUUGUAUGUUCUUAUUCUGCUAUUCGAACUUAAGGAUGAUUGUAAUUUAAUGAAAGACUGUUUGCAAAAUUUGGGGAUUACAUCAUUGUCAUCGUGUAAGGCAUGGCAGAUUUGUUUUUUUUUUCCGCCAAUUCCUCUUUAUGAUCAAGUGUUGCAUUUGCCUUUUUCAUCAUCAUUUAGCUUAAGUAUUGGGCUGAGCAAGCAUGUAAGGCCCAUGAAUGGAGCCUUGUCUAUAUGAGUUCCAUGAACUCUGAUUCUGGGCCUCUCCAACAUGAGGCAAAUGGGUUUAGAUAUGGGCAAUCCCAUUUUUUUAUAAAUCAAAGCUUAUCCCACAUAUUAAAUUAUGUUGGUUAAAGAUUUGAAUUUUUGACUUCAUCAAUAUCUAACAAUCAACCUCCAUCUUGGAGUAGGAACGCCACUUUCCACAAUGACCCAGCGAAAGGUUUGAUUCCAACGAGUCCUCUUUCCACAAUGGUGCUGUCUUCAGACAAUCCUAAAUUAGCUUAGGAAUAACUAAUCAAACAUCCUAGUUUGCUUGAGGCGCGCCUUGUAAUAAACCAUCGUGACUAUAGGUACGGCUCCCGUGGCAUAGUCAUAAUACCUAAUUUCCAAAUUCGGGGUGCAUUUCAUGUAACCCGAUUAUAAUAACUUCGAAUAAUAGAACCCUUUGAAAUAAAUUGAAGCGUGCCAUGCCAAACAAAAUUUAUAAUUCAUGGCCCUUAUAAAAUUAGAUCAAGAGCUAAUCCUUAUAGAAAAAUGUUUGAGGUGUGCCAUUAAAUAAAUUAAAUCAUCCAUGGCCCUCACAAAUGUUGCUUUUAAAAAUUGAAUCUUCAUAGUUGCUUUAGGUGCGUUUUACAAUAAAUCAUCGUGGCUAUGGGUACGGUUCCCGUGACAUAGUCAUGAUGCCUAAUUCCCAAAAUUGGAGGUGCAUUUCAUGUGAUCCGAUCAUAACAACUUUGAAUAAUAAUAAAAUAAACAUGUCGCAAAUCGCGG
rnacentral:lncRNA from 1 species